GCAGCUGUAAACAGGGUCUGCAGCACAAGACUAGCCGAAAAAGCAAAAUAAUGGCUUGCAACAAUCCUGUUUGUGGAAGAGAUUAUGACAAAGAAGUCUGGAACCUCAGAACCACCAUAACUGUGUCUGCUACAAUUUGUGUUCUUGCAACCAGCUGAUUGAUUCAUUUUAUCAACUCUUGAAUGGUUGAUUAUCAGAACUGAAUUCAGAGCUGCUCCUGUAUGUAGUAACAUCAUUAUUGGAAGAGCAGAUUUGAGAAUGAGGGCGUUACUGCUUUAAAAACUUUAUUCUAUGGAGCUCUCCAAAUUCAUCUCAUAUUAGACUGCUUCAGGAAACCAGAUUGGUUCCUUCAAACAGAGACGAUUGUGGCUUUCCUGACUGGACUUCUAUGGAUUCUUCAUGCCAACCUUAAGGACUGUGGUCUUCUGCAUGAGACACAUCAAUUUCAAACAAGACAUUCUGUGGUGAAACACUUGAUGAAGAUGAUAUGAAAUUUUUAUUUCAUAUAACUGAAUCUCAGAAGUAAUUCCUCAGGAGCAAGAAACAUUGAAAAAUGAAAAUAAAAGGUCCAUCAAUAAUGAAUGUCUUGAGCAGUGUUCUUUUUUAGGCACAGAUCAAUGGAUCUUUUCAAGUCCAAGCAGGGAUGUAGUCAAUGCUGACCUCGAGGCAACAUUUUGCUGGCCUUGGUCCGAGUCACUGUACAGAAUCUAUGGGAAGUUCUCUCAAGCUGCCUCAUGACUCGGAAGAAUGUAUGCAAGUGUGAUAUAUAUCUACGAUGCAAUCUCAUGAUUAAAGAGAGAUAAACAAGAGAGCUUCAGAUUUUGAAGUGUAGCAAUCUCCUGAAAUGUAUGUUUUAUUUGAAAAUCAAACUAAAAUAACUUAAUUGGGCAUGUUAUUCAUUAUGAUAUGUAUGAAUGAAAGCAUUUAAGCAAUUUAGUGCUCUUGCAAAACAUAUUCUGAGUUGUAUUUACUGCAAACGCUCAGAUAUAUUGAUAAGCAUUUGCCAGUGCAUGAAGUGUUUUUAAUAAAGAGUGGCUUUUGUGCCUAUGGAGAGUUAUUAUUUCUUCAACAUUUCUUCAUACAAAUUAUUUCAGAAAUCACAAUUUGAAUAUUCCAUGACCUCUGAUAACAAGAGCAGGAUAUUUUUGGUUAUUGACACACUUUAAAAUGAUAUUAGGAGAGAAUGUACUGAAAUUGUGUGAAAAUAAUGGCAUAAUUGCUGAAGAGUCCUAUAAAGAUUGAAAAUAACAUUAUUUCAAGUUUUUCUUGAAAAAAACCCAUGGGAAAUUGAAACUGGUAUAAUAUACACAAGUUUUCAAAACAAAAUCCAAAAAAAAUUUUUGUUGGCAGAAUUAGUACACAAGCCUAUGGACAAUCAAUUGAACGUAAAUCGAACGCAAAUUUUGCGCAUCCUCCAAAAUCUUACAUAAGUUACGUUCGAUUUGCAAUCAAUUGCAAAGCUUGCGCUUGAUCUACGUUCAAUUGAUCAAACGCAACUUCUUCUUGCAACAGGAUUGAACGUAACUUGCGAUCAAUUGCAGAUUUGCGUUUGAUCGGAGGACUUACGCUCAAUUUUGGGAGUUGCGUUCGAUUUGCGUUCAAUCGCAAGUUUCUUGCAACACCCCAUAAGUCACACUUAAAUCUUUGUGAAAAAUACCCAGGUCAUAAAAUCAAUUAGGGAACAUCACAGGACCCUGUUGCAUAAACAUUAUUAUGGUAAUCUUUCCAUCACAUCGUAACAAUUCUCAACAGCCAAUAAAAAAUGGAAGUAGGAAAUAAGGACAUGAGGUACGUUUGGACCAUUUCAGAGAUACAUGUAACAAGUGUGUGUAAUCAUUCUAAUGCCCAAGUGAAAUGAUGUGCAUUAUUUGUUUUAUUAGAGAGUGAUGUAGAUCCUUAUUAUUUGAUAAACCACCCUUAUCUCAAAACAAUGACCAGAUGACCAAUUAAUAGUACCAGCCCAUAACAACAACAACAACAAUAAUAAUAAUCAAUGAUAAUAAUAAUAAUAAACAGUCAGUUUUUAUAUUAUAGCACAUAACAAAUAAUAAGUAUUCCUCUAUGUGCUUAUG